CCUACGGGAGGCAGCAGUGAGGAAUAUUGGUCAAUGGGCGGAAGCCUGAACCAGCCAAGUAGCGUGCAGGAUGACGGCCCUACGGGUUGUAAACUGCUUUUAUACGGGAAUAACGCGCCUUACGUGUAGGGCUUUGCAUGUACCGUAUGAAUAAGCGCCGGCUAAUUCCGUGCCAGCAGCCGCGGUAAUACGGAAGGCCCGAGCGUUAUCCGGAUUCAUUGGGCUUAAAGGGAGCGUAGGCGGACGAUCAAGUCAGCUGUAAAAUCGCGCGGCUCAACCGCGCCCCGCAGUUGAAACUGGGCGCCUUGAGUGCGCAAGAGGCAGGCGGAAUGCGUGGUGUAGCGGUGAAAUGCAUAGAUAUCACGAGGAACCCCGAUUGCGAAGGCAGCCUGCCGGGGUGCGACUGACGCUGAGGCUCGAAGGUGCGGGUAUCAAACAGGAUUAGAUACCCGGGUAGUC
rnacentral:rRNA from 1 species